UACAGAGGUCCCAAGCGUUGUUCGGAUUCACUGGGCGUAAAGGGUGCGUAGGUGGCUAGACAAGUCGGAUGUGAAAUCUCCAGGCUCAACCUGGAAACUGCAUUGGAAACUGUCUGGCUAGAGGAUUUGAGGGGGGACUGGAAUACUUGGUGUAGCAGUGAAAUGCGUAGAUAUCAAGUGGAACACCAGUGGCGAAGGCGAGUCCCUGGAAAAUACCUGACACUGAGGCACGAAAGCUAGGGGAGCAAACAGG
rnacentral:rRNA from 1 species